AUGGAGUAUUGGCCCUGCUGGCUUUUCCUGGCUGCUGUUUUCAAAGGUGUCCAGUGUAAGGUGCAGUUGGUGGAGUCUGGUGGAGGCUUGGUUCAGCCUGGAGGGUCCCUGAAACUCACGUGUGUUGCCUCUGGGUUCACAUUCAGAGACUACCAUAUGGUCUGGGUUCGCCAGGCUCCAGGAAAGGGACUGGAGUGGGUUGGUGUUGUUAGAAACAAAGCUAAUGGUUACAGCACGGAGUAUGCUGCAUCUGUGAAAGGCAGAUUCACAAUCUCAACGGACGAUUCUAAGAAUUCAGUGUAUCUGCAAAUGAACAGCCUGAAAACUGAGGACACAGCUGUAUAUUACUGCGCUACAGACACAGUGAGGGAACACCAGUAUGAACCCAGACAAAAACCUCCCUUCAGGGGCUGCACAACCACAAGAGAUUUCAGGACCUCCAGGCACUAG